GUGUCAGCAGCCGCGGUAAUACGUAGGUGGCAAGCGUUGUCCGGAUUUACUGGGCGUAAAGGGCGUGCAGGCGGCCCGUUAAGUGCAUGGUGAAAGCUCCCGGCUCAACUGGGAGAGGUCUGUGUAUACUGGCGGGCUUGAGGGGGGUAGAGGAAAGUGGAAUUCCCGGUGUAGUGGUGAUAUGCGUAGAUAUCGGGAGGAACACCUGUGGCGAAGGCGGCUUUCUGGGCCCUACCUGACGCUGAGACGCGAAAGCGUGGGGAGCGAACCGGAUUAGAAACCCUUGUAGUCC
rnacentral:rRNA from 1 species